rnacentral:tRNA from 2 species
GCCUACGUAGCUCAGUGGUAGAGCACUUCCUUGGUAAGGAAGAGGUCGCCAGUUCAAUUCUGGCCGUAGGCU